rnacentral:lncRNA from 1 species
AACCCCACAAAAUCAUGCAUUAUCAAGAGAUUCAAACCUUCGUGUUCAUUUUAAGAACACCUAGGAAACUGUUCAGGCCAUCAAGGGUAUGCAUAUGCACAAAGCCACGAAGUAUCUGAACUAUGUCACUUUAAAGAAGCUACGUAUGCCAUGACAGCAGUAUAAUGGUGGAGUUGGUAGGUACGCCAAGGCUAAACAAUGGGACUAGACACAAGGAAGGUAGCCAAAAAUGAAUGCUGAAUUUUUGCUGCACAUGCUUAAAAAUGCAGAGAGUAAUGCUGAACUUAAGGGUUUAGGUGAAGAUUCUCUAGUCAUUGAACACAUCCAGGAGAACAAGACACCUAAGACGCACCAUCAAAACUACAGAGUUCAUGGCCGAAUUAACCCAUACAUGAGCUCCCUCUGCUACACUGAGAUGAUCCUCACUGAGAAGGAACAGAUCAUUCCAAAGCCAGAUGAUGAGAUUGCACAUUAA